CUGCGGAGGAUCAUUAUCGA
rnacentral:rRNA from 2 species